GAGAGAGAGAGAGAGAGAGAGAGCACUUGGACAUCACGGAGGCACACUGAUAGUAGUCAAAAUAAUUGGAUUAGGCUGACAAUCAUAAAGGAGGUAGAUCAAGUAUCAUGAAAUGAACCAAAUUAUAGAAUAACAUGACCUAUGAUGGCCAUUUCGAUAGAGUUUCAUCCAUCUAUAUUAAAGUUCAUUUACAACUCAGCAUUUUUAACAUCCUGCAGAAGAAAAGACUACCACAAGACCAAGCAUGAAAAUGUAAUGAAACAAUCCAAAAGGGAUAACUAUGAAUUCUGAUUUAAGAGAAUAAUGCCUGUACACACAUGUAACUAGAAUG
rnacentral:lncRNA from 1 species